rnacentral:rRNA from 1 species
UACGUAGGGGCUAGCGUUAUCCGGAAUUACUGGGCGUAAAGGGUGCGUAGGUGGUUUCUUAAGCCAGAGGUGAAAGGCUACGGCUCAACCGUAGUAAGCCUUUGAAACUGGGAAACUUGAGUGCAGGAGAGGCAAGUGGAAUUCCUAGUGUAGCGGUGAAAUGCGUAGAUAUUUGGAGGAACACCAGUGGCGAAGGCGACUUUCUGGUCUGUAACUGACACUGAGGCUCGAAAGCGUGGGGAGCGAACAGGAUUAGAUACCCUGGUAGUCCCUGAGCGGG